rnacentral:rRNA from 1 species
GACGAACGCUGGCGGCGUGCUUAACACAUGCAAGUCGAGCGGUAAGGCCCUUUCGGGGGUACACGAGCGGCGAACGGGUGAGUAACACGUGGGUGACCUGCCCUUAGCUCUGGGAUAAGCCUGGGAAACUGGGUCUAAUACCGGAUAUGACUCCAUGACGCAUGUUGUGGGGUGGAAAGCCUUGUGCGGCUAGGGAUGGGCCCGCGGCCUAUCAGCUUGUUGGUGGGGUGAUGGCCACCAAGGCGACGACGGGUAGCCGGCCUGAGAGGGCGACCGGCCACACUGGGGACUGAGACACGGCCCAGACUCCUACGGGAGGCAGCAGUGGGGAAUCUUGCGCAAUGGGCGAAAGCCUGACGCAGCGACGCCGCGGUGGGGAUGACGGCC